AACGAACGCUGGCGGCGUGCCUAACACAUGCAAGUCGAACGAGAAAGGGACCUUCGGGGCCCGAGUAGAGUGGCGCACGGGUGAGUAACGCGUAGGUAAUCUACCCUUAUAUUUGGGAUAACAUCGCGAAAGUGGUGCUAAUACCGGAUACGCUUUUUCUGAUGCGAGUCGGGGAAAGGAAAGGAGACCUCUGGAACAAGUUUCCGUAUAGGGAUGAGCCUGCGUACCAUUAGCUAGUUGGUGGGGUAAAGGCCUACCAAGGCGACGAUGGUUAGCGGGUCUGAGAGGAUGAUCCGCCACACUGGAACUGAAACACGGACCAGACUCCUACGGGUGGCAG
rnacentral:rRNA from 1 species